rnacentral:rRNA from 1 species
GGAAUCUUCCACAAUGGGCGAAAGCCUGACGGAGCAACGCCGCGUGUGUGAUGAAGGGUUUCGGCUCGUAAAACACUGUUGUAAGAGAAGAAUGACAUUGAGAGUAACUGUUCAAUGUGUGACGGUAUCUUACCAGAAAGGAACGGCUAAAUACGUGCCAG